rnacentral:lncRNA from 1 species
AACUGCUGAGAAAUGUCUUUAAUCGUGGCCAUUUUCAAACACAGAUCUGCACAGUGAACAAUUUUCUGAGGAAUUCUUACAAAGCAGAGUCUGUUCAGAGGAUGCUGAUUAAAAAAACCUCUGUACACAGAGCAUAAUGAAGAGGGGAAGAAAGUGCAUGGCUUUGUGUAACUUAAUAAAAAGGGAGAAAAUUUGACCGGAAAUGAAAGACUACCCACGUUGAAAGCAUAUAGUAUGCUAUGAUUCAGAAUAAAUGAAAUAGAAUUCUUCCAGGUCUAAGAAAUCAGCACUUCCCCCCAGGCACUGCAGAGAGUGUUAGCUUCCAGUUGUAUAAAUAUGCAGAAAUAACAAAGGAUGCAUGUAGAAUGUACUUAUCAUAAUGGCAGGCCAGGGACUUUCAGUUAUCUUGCACCAGUAACUUAGGGUCUAUGAUUUUCCAACAACUUGUAUUCUCUUAGAACAACAAAAAUUCCAAUCACUCAUAAACUGGUAAGGAUGGUGUAUAUUUAAUGUCUAUCAGUACAGAGUGUGGGUAGGU